UACGGAGGGUGCGAGCGUUGUCCGGAAUCAUUGGGCGUAAAGGGCGCGUAGGUGGCCCGGUCAGUCGAUGGUGAAAGCGCGGGGCUCAACUCCGCGUCGGCCGUCGAUACUGCUGGGCUUGAGCACUGUAGAGGCAGGCGGAAUUCCGGGUGUAGCGGUGGAAUGCGUAGAGAUCCGGAAGAACACCGGUGGCGAAGGCGGUCUGCUGGGGUCGAACUGACGCUGAGGCGCGACAGCGUGGGGAGCAAACAGG
rnacentral:rRNA from 1 species